CCUACGGGGAGCUGCAGUGAGGAAUAUUGGUCAAUGGACGGAAGUCUGAACCAGCCAUGCCGCGUGCAGGAAGACGGCUCUAUGAGUUGUAAACUGCUUUUGUACAAGGGUAAACCUGAAUACGUGUAUUCUGCUGAAAGUACUGUACGAAUAAGGAUCGGCUAACUCCGUGCCAGCAGCCGCGGUAAUACGGAGGAUCCAAGCGUUAUCCGGAUUUAUUGGGUUUAAAGGGUGCGUAGGCGGAUUGAUAAGUUAGAGGUGAAAUGUCCGAGCUUAACUCGGGAACUGCCUCUGAUACUGUUGAUCUAGAGAGUAGAUGCGGUAGGCGGAAUGUAUGGUGUAGCGGUGAAAUGCUUAGAGAUCAUACAGAACACCGAUUGCGAAGGCAGCUUACCAAUCUAUAUCUGACGUUGAGGCACGAAAGCGUGGGGAGCAAACAGGAUUAGAUACCCGAGUAGUC
rnacentral:rRNA from 1 species